rnacentral:tRNA from 8 species
GUCGGGAAUGGUCGGGAUAGCUCAGCUGGUAGAGCAGAGGACUGAA